rnacentral:rRNA from 1 species
GUCGAACGGUAACAUGGAAAAGCUUGCUUUUCUGAUGACGAGUGGCGCACGGGUGCGUAGCGCGUAUAGAACCUACCCUUUACAGGGCGGAUAGCCCGGAGAAAUCCGGAUUAAUACCCCGUAGUACUGAGAUGUGGCAUCACGACUCAGUUAAGAGCUUCGGCGGUAGAGGAUGGCUAUGCGUCCUAUUAGUUAGAUGGUGACGUAACGGCUCACCAUGGUCAGCGAUACCGUAGGCGGCCCUGGACAGGGGGAUCCCCCACACUGGCUACUGCAUUACACGGACCAUGACUCCUACGAGGAGUGCAGCAGAUGAGGAAUAUUGGACAAUGGGUGAGAGCCUGAUCCAGGCCAUGCCGCGUGCAGGAAGACGGCCCUACGGGUUGUAAACUGCUUUUAUACGGGAAGAAUAAGGGGUACGUGUACCCUGAUGACGGUACCGUAAGAAUAAGGACCGGCUAACUCCGUGCCAGCAGUCCGCUGUAAUACGGAGGGUCCGAGNCGUUAUCCCGGAAUUAUUGGGUUUAAAGCGGUCCGCAGUGCGGGCCGGUAAGUCAGAGGUGAAAGUUUGCGGCUCAACCGUAAAAUUGCCUUUGAUACCUGCUGGUCUUGAGUUGCGGUGAAGUGGCUGGAAUAUGUGGUGUCGCGCUGAUAUGCAUACAUAUCACAUUAGAACACCGAAUUGCUAAGUGCAGGUCGCUAACCGCCGGACUGACGCUGAUGGACGAA